ensembl:lncRNA
CAGCGUCCUACAGCUUGGUCGUGAGCUGAGACCGUCCCUCCUCAGCUUGAAAUACACGUGGCAAAAUGAGCUUGCUUCCUGUCUGUGCUUCAGCUGCCUUCCUUUCCAUGGACAGAAAAGAAGGCUGAUUUUAAAUUUCACGACAAAUCCAUAUAAUGAAGCUGCUAAUUCUAAAAGCUGAAGCAUUCACACUGAGAACACCGUUGGAAAUACAAGAGUGACGUUUUACUGAGGGAAAAGAAUCCAGGUGCUGCACAGAAAACCUUUCUGGACCUACAGGCGAAGGCUCUCACCUAGAUUACCCUUUCUGUGCUACAGGCAAACAAGGAUCAACAUCCAUGGAAGCACAGACAGGCUGCAAAAUGGUCCUUCUGAUGCACCACGCUGAGCCCUCCCACACGUUAGGACUGACAUGUACUACUCCAUUUCAGCAAAAUAAAUAAAUAAAAAUAAAAAUCCAAGUGGCAUUUGGAAAACAGUAUUUUCACUCCUCGGAGCCAGUGCUCCAGGCACCUCAGAUUAUGUACUGCUGGC